rnacentral:misc_RNA from 1 species
GUUUUUCCGUCGCCUCAGUCUUCAGCCCCCUUAGAUUUGCGGAUAUUGGUGUCGGCUCAUUCAUCACCUCAAUCUUCUACAGGUAAGUGUCUAACCCAUCACUAGUUGAGUGUUCCUAGUUUGUCUUUAUAAGCGUUUCUUUUCAAAGUAUCUAGUCAUGCCGAGUUUCGGAAUAGAUUAACUUAUCUUGCAACUAUUACCUGUGUCUUUUUCUUUAUCAUUUGCAAAUUUUAUUAUCACCUUAUUUGGUAUGAGAAUGGAAAUUCGAGUCACUAGCAUUUCAUAAAUAAUGAAUACAGGCCAAAGUAUUAACAUGAGAGUUUUUGGUCUGAAUAAAUGAAAAUGAUAAAGGAAAAUAAGUGUAGCAAAGGUCAAAAUAGUUGAAUAGGUUGGAAACAAGAUUAGGUCAAACAAAUAAGUUAUGAGAUCGGGCCUUGGAACGAGUCCAGACGAUAAGACAAUAGAUCGGGAAUCAAGACAAGUUAAGAUCUCGGGCGAGCGACUAAAAAGAGAUCGGAAAACGAGAAAGUUCAAAUAAAGCAAUCAUGCGGAAGAUCAGUAAGGAGUUCGGCUCAAUGCCUACCAUCCAUUUACGAGAUCCCAUGGGCCAAGAAAAGCCCUUCUUAGGGGUUUCCUAUGUCUUCGAUGAUAUUUCCCAAUAUUAAAGGAAUCAGGAGAGAGUCCUUACCCAAAUUCCUAGUUUAAAAUUCUAAUAAAAUACCGUUCUUAUAAAUACGGGAGAUCGGGAGAGAGUCCUUUCCUCGAACCCCCGCAAUUUUUCUUCCUUUUUAUAAAUAUCACUCUUUAUAAAUGUGGGAGAUCGGGAGAAGUCAUUUCCUUGAAACCCCUACAAUUUUGCGUCUUUUUAUAAAGUUCAUUCUCUACCAAAUAUGGGAGAUCAAGAGAGAGUCCUUUCCUUGAACUCCCUGGUGUUUGUUUAUUUUACAAAAAUUUUACAAACUUCUUGUUCUUACUAAGUUUACCAAAUACAUUUUUAAAGUACGAUUCGCGGGAGAGUCCUUUCAAGAAUCAUAAAUUUUUACAAAAUCUUUUACUAGGGACUCAAUGGAGGGUCCUUCUUAGAGUCCUCGCACUCAUAACACAAGGGAGAGUCCUUCCUUGGGGUGCUUCAUAUACUAUUAAGGGAGAGUUCUUCCGUUAGUUCAGUGUCACGUACAGAAGAAGGAAGUAUAAGAAUAAGUGAAUUGAUUAAUUAGUUGUGAUGGUAGUUGAAAUUGUUGUAGCUUUCUGUUAGAGGUUGUUGGAGAAAUUGUAGCAAGGGUUAGGCAGUUGUUUUUGGAGGGAAAGUGGCAAUAAAUAGGGCUGUGAGAUAUUGUAAAGAUUCAUUCAAAUUCUCAAUGAAAUAUUAUCUUCUUCCUUACAAUUCUC